CCUAUCCCACUAUCAACCUAAUCGAGUCUCUCUCUCUCAGACUCAAACAUAGGCCGCCUCUCUCUCACACAGUCUCUCUCAAACCCUCUGUUCCUUCGGAGUCCAGACAGCAAACCUAUACUUCUCCGCCGCCAGCCACCACAUCCGGCGUUUUUGGACCAACAGAGACUUGCGACUACUCCUUCAGAGUCCAGACCAGCAAACCUAUCUUCUCCGCCGCAGAUCGAGACUUGUUCUGGUAGGCUUGCGACGACUCGGACCGUAGAUCGAGGAGCAGACGGAGUCGGCGACGCGAGCUGAGGCUGUGAUGUUGACAGUGGGGAGUUCCGACGCGAUCUGAGGCAGUGGAGUAGGCGACGUCGACGCAUAAGGUGUGGACUUCGUUCCCAAUCUUCGUUAUGCAUCCACCGCCGACGCAGAAGCACUCUCAGAGCGAAAACAGAGACCGGUGAUCUCCUUAGAGGCUCAGAGGCCCCAGACUGUGAAGAAGCAGAUUGUGAAGAAGCGCCUCAAGCAGUUCAAGAGGCUUCAGACUGACAGGAAGAUAUGUGUCAAGGUCCUUUGCAGGUCCUAUAUAUUAAUUAUAUGGAGUGCUUCAGUUUUUGUAGCCUUAGUGGCUUAGUGCCUCUGCAAACCAUGUUUCAAUACAGUUUUUGUAACUAAGUUUACCACUUCUUGUAAAUUGAUGAAGUCAUGAUGUCAUGAACACAUGAGCAGUUUUUGUAUCAAAGUGUCAAGCAUUGCUCAUUUUUUGUAGCUUCAGUGGCUUAGUGCCUCUGCGCAAUUUCAUUUCAAUUUCAAAUCCACCACUUGAUUAGUAAGAAUGUGAGUUAGUUUAUGUGGGAUUUGUAGAUAUUUGUAAUUAACUCAGGUUCUCAAAUCUCUAGUAUUCAGUUUCAUAUGUAUAUAUAUGUACCUUUUUUUUUCCCUUCA